rnacentral:lncRNA from 1 species
CAGCUAGUCUGCGAGUAAGGAAGAAAAGAGGAGAUUUACCAUGUCUGUUUGAGGAGAUGGAUUUCGGGGAAGGAGGAGGCUCUGAGUAUUCGGAUUUGGUAGUGACACGUCUAGGGUUUCUGAGGAGGAUUGUGUAAUAUAUGUAGAAUAGGUAAAGUACGGGUCAGGGUAAGUGAAAGCAAUAGGCCCAAUCCAGGUGUUCUAAAAGCCCACACAAUGUUUGUAUGGAUUUGUGGGGUGGGCGAAGG